rnacentral:lncRNA from 1 species
CCUGAAGUAGUCCACAGCCAGCACCUAGGGAGAGACGACAGCUACCAUGAAUCCAGCAGCAGCAGCAGUCAGAGUUUUGGCUCAAGUCUCGGGGAUAACAUGGGGAAGCUCAAUGUUUAUGGAAAAUCACUUGCACAGAAAUAUCCAGCUGAGAGUGCCUCCAGGGUUACCCCAUAUCAUGUCCAAGGGACGGUAGGGGAUGAGUUCCCCCAUCUUGACAUCAUCAAUGAUUUGCUAGAUGAUGAACAGAACGUUGGAAGGACAGCAAGAAGUCCCCAGUAUGCCUUCAGUCGGCAGUUCUCCUUUCCGGGUAAUUUGUCUUCCGCCGACACCGGGUCACUAGGUAGCUCUGGCCAGUUUGAACAACUGGAUCAGUACUAUGAUGAGGGCUUCCAUAGGGGCUACGGUGCAUCCAAUAACCCUCCCGAAGGGCUGAGGGAUGGACGUAUGCAGCAGAUGGAUCUUUUGGCCUAUGCUAAUCGACAGUUUGAUGGACUGAUGCGGAACCAGCAGCCUUAUGGAAUUACUGAUCUAUCGAUGCUCGGCCUGAGGGAUGCAGAUGUGAAUGGAUACUCUUACCAGCUUCAAGACUAUUUUGCAAGAGGCGGGAACGGAUACUUGUACCGUCCUUGAGGUAGGUAACCUGAGAGCACAUACGAUCAUGUGGUCUUAGUAAUGGUUAUAAUUUGAGGUAAUUUAUUCUUCUG